CGUCCUGCAUCGCGGGCGAUCGCCGUCGCCAGUAGAUUCGGAUGGUCCUGCAUCGCAGGCACCAGGUCGACGCUGCCGCAACAUCGAGAGACGCCGAGUCUAGGUACACACCGUUGAAACUAUUUCGAAACAUAUAUUUGUAACGGCUAAUUAGACAGGAAGGCAUGUUAUAGGUGCCAUGUUCUUCUUGCCCGUUGCUAUUGCAAUUGAAAGGUAUGCAGAUUUUUGGCUUGUUAUUUGCCUGGAUUAUAUGGUAGGUAAAAGUACAAGGCAGAGGUAAAAGUGAUGGCGUCUUGGUUGGCUGGCAUUUUGUGAUCCUAAUGAUGCACUCAACCAGUUCCAUCAGAAUGUUGUGAACUUGCUAGAGUCUGAUGUAGAUACUCUUUAAAGAAGAAUGAACAAGAUUGAAGCUCUUAUAAGGAGAAGAAACGACCAAAGAAGAUUGUUGACGCUAGCUUGGAGAUCUAGUCCUAUUUUACAAAUGUUUGA